GCAAUUCCUUCUCCGCAGCCCCAUUGCGGAGGGGAGAUGCCCUCUCAGUCUGUCGCUCCGGUACCCGGGGGACAACACACCCCCACUGCAAACGUUUCUCGUCGCCUCGGAGCCAGGCAGGCUGCAAACUGCUCUGCGUUUAUAUCUGGAGUCACUCUCCUCCCUCUCUCCCUUCGUGUCUCACCUCUCUUUGCAGUGCUGUGCUCUGGGGUUGGCUUCUCCCUG
rnacentral:lncRNA from 1 species